rnacentral:misc_RNA from 1 species
GAUGAAGAACGCAGCGAAAUGCGAUAAGUGAUGUGAAUUGCAGAAUUCAGUGAAUCAUCGAAUCUUUGAACGCACAUUGCGCCCGCCAGUAUUCUGGCGGGCAUGCCUGUUCGAGCGUCAUUACAACCCUCAGGCCCCCGGGCCUGGCGUUGGGGAUCGGCGGAGCCCCCCGUGGGCACACGCCGUCCCCCAAAUACAGUGGCGGUCCCGCCGCAGCUUCCAUCGCGUAGUAGCUAACACCUCGCGACUGGAGAGCGGCGCGGCCACGCCGUAAAACACCCAACUCUUCUGAAGUUGACCUCGAAUCAGGUAGGAAUACCCGCUGAACUUAAGCAUAUCAAUAAGCGGAGGA